CGGGCUUAAUGACCCCAUCAAAAGGCGCAGGGUUUCAGACUGGAUAAAAAAGCAGGACCCAUCUAAUUGCUGUCUACAAGAGACUCAUUUUAGACAGAAGGACACCUACAGCCUGGACCACAGACUGUCUAAGCUAGUUGAGGAAGAAAAUGAAACAUUGGCCCUGCAGACUGUGCCCUAUGGAUCCAAGUGUCGGAGCUGAGAUUCUGCAGAGAGUGGGAAUCACAUGCCAGAACAACAGUCUGCCAAGCAGGCUUUUGAAGACACAGAGAGAGAGGCAGAGACACAGGAGGAGGGAGAAGCAGGCUCCAUGCAGGGAGCCCGACGUGGGACUCGAUCCCAGGACUCCAGGAUCGCGCCAUGUGUCAAAGGCAGGCGUUAAACUGCUGAGCCACCUAGGGAUCCCUGUAUUAUGCAUCUUUAACCUACUACAAUCUAUCCCCAAGAUGCCAUUUCAGAUGCCAUAUUACAUUUAGUCAUCAUGUCUCCUUACGUUCCUCUUGGCUGUAAUGAUUCCACAGGCUUUCCUGUUUUUGAUGACCCUGACAGUUUUGAAGAGCACUGCAGGGCCAUGGAAGAGCCACAGUGAAGAGGGGCCAGAGAAAGGAAGCCAUCCGACAAGAACUGAGCUACAUCAUUCCAGAGCUGCAUCCUGCCUGUGAAACAGUGAGGACUCUCUUCCCUCUCAGGCCAGGAUCCGAAAGAACACCCACCCCUGGGCCCUGAACUGGGUGUAUCCUUAACCCCACCCUGCAUGAUACCACACCCUCAUUCUUCCCCACCCUGGGCUGCAGCCCCGCUGGGACUCUGGUGCCUAUUAGUGAUGGGAUGAGAGGGAGCGGCCUUCAGUGAAAGGGAGGAUCAAGUCCGUGAAGCUAGAACCCAAGAAAAUAAAAUUUUAAAUGAUGUACAAUUUCCAUAUUACUAAGCCACUGUUAACACCAAGAGACUUUAUGAGCUGAGCCACCCCAUCCCGGAGAUGUGAACACUCGACAAAGAGGAAAGAAGUAAUGCUUAGCACUCAGGGCUGUCCCCUUUUUGCAGCACCAGAAGUGCUGAUGCAAGUCCCAGGGAGGAGAAACCUGGCCCUGUCAAAGCAGCAUAGGCCUGCCUAUGGCGACUGUCCACUCACCAAAUACAUGGCUUCGUCUCUCCACAUAGCAGCCUGAAUAACUGACUCAGAAAUAAGGACAGCACGGGCACAAAGACAAAUGCACUUUUUCUUGUCACUGGAAAAUCAAAUGCCCAGUCACAUCGAUCCAAAAGUAUUCUAGAAUCAAAUCGCUGAGCCUAAUCUAGAACUGCAAUGUUGUAGUUGGGUGACUUAAAGUGGAAUUGUGAGAAGCAACCCAAAUAUUUGAUAAAGUCAGUUAAAUAAGAGCACUUAAUUCCUUAAGAAGCCUGUCAACAGAGAUUCGUGAAAUAACUCUGAGCUGAAAGUAGGGCGCACAAUGUUACACAUUGUGGACAAUAAUGAAAAACUCUCUCCACACAGAAAACACAAAUUAUAAUAGUUGUCAGGGAAUAAGUGAGUGACUUAUGUCCACUUUAAAAAUAGAAAAAAGAGGGGCACCUGGGUGGCUCAGUCCAUUGAGCCUGGGAUUCUUGAUUUCGGCUCAGGCCAUGAUCUCAGGGUUGUGAGAUCCAGCCUCUCAUUGGUUCUGUGCUCAGCCGGGAAUCAGCUUGAGAUUCUUUCCCUCCACCUUUCCCCCCAACUCGUUUUCUCUCUCUCUGUCUCAAAUAAAUCUUGAAAAAAGGAACUUCUAAAACUAACACCAUGAUUUCCUCUUAAAGCUGGAGCAGGGAUGCCUGGGUAGCUCAUUGGGUUAAGCAUCUGACUCUUGAGAUGAGUCAUGUCGCAGGGUCCUGAUGUCCAGCCCGGUGUCAGUCUCCACACUCCGCAGAGUCAG